rnacentral:rRNA from 1 species
AGAGUUUGAUCAUGGCUCAGAUUGAACGCUGGCGGCAGGCCUAACACAUGCAAGUCGAGCGCGGAAACACUUCGGUGUGAGUAGAGCGGCGGACGGGUGAGUAAUGCUUGGGAAUCUGCCCAGUAGUGGGGGAUAACGUGUGGAAACGCACGCUAAUACCGCAUACGUCCUACGGGAGAAAGCAGGGGAUCUUCGGACCUUGCGCUAUUGGAUGAGCCCAAGUCAGAUUAGCUAGUUGGUGAGGUAAUGGCUCACCAAGGCGACGAUCUGUAGCUGGUCUGAGAGGAUGAUCAGCCACACUGGGACUGAGACACGGCCCAGACUCCUACGGGAGGCAGCAGUGGGGAAUAUUGCAC